rnacentral:rRNA from 1 species
GACGAACGCUGGCGGCGUGCUUAACACAUGCAAGUCGAACGGAAAGGCCCUGCUUGCAGGGUACUCGAGUGGCGAACGGGUGAGUAACACGUGGGUGAUCUGCCCUGCACUUCGGGAUAAGCCUGGGAAACUGGGUCUAAUACCGGAUAGGAGCCAUUUUUAGUGUGAUGGUUGGAAAGUUUUUUCGGUGUAGGAUGAGCUCGCGGCCUAUCAGCUUGUUGGUGGGGUAAUGGCCUACCAAGGCGGCGACGGGUAGCCGGCCUGUGAGGGUGGACGGCCACAUUGGGACUGAGGUGCGGCCCAGACUCCGACGGGAGGCAGAAGUGGGGAAUAUUGCACAAUGGGCGCAAGGCUGAUGCAGCGGCGCGGCGGGUGGGAUGACGGCCUUCGGGUUGUAAAAUCGUUUCGCUAGGGACGAAGCUUGUUGUGACGGUACCUAGAUAAGAAGCACCGGCUAACUACGUG